ensembl:lncRNA
AAUACAGGGGUUUUUUUGUACAACCCUUAGUAUAAUUCAGUACUGACUCUCAGAGAAAAUGAUCAGGUGUGUUACAUUUUUUCUUUAGAUUGAAAUAAAGCAUCACUUAUGUGCCCUGUCCUAACUGAAAGAACAGCUUUAAAAGGGAUUUGCACCAGUCAAUCAUGUGACAAUAUAAAUUGCUAUUUGUUUAUGUUUUUGUUUUGUUUUAAAGAUGCACAUAAGUGUAAGAAGCAAAACUGAAGAUAUGCAUGAAGAGAUACUUAAUGUAAGACACUAACAAGCCACCAACAACAGGGAUUCGGCCUGCACCCGAGGCAGUCUGCUCCUUCCCUGCUCUGGCUCUGGCAGUCAGGUGUUUUCCCGCUCAGGAAGGUGAGUCUCGCAUGGGAGACCUCCAACACCUGCUCUACUUUUUGUCACGGUGAUUCAAGCUGCAGCUUUUGCUCGUGGAGCACACCCAGCUUCACACUGUUGCUGAGAAGUGCUCAUUGCACUCUCCAGUAGGAUAGCAGGGAUGCGGUGGUCUUCAGGCGGCCAUAGGGCCUGUUGCAACCCUGAGGAAACUAGCCGUUCCACACAUUUACACUGCUGCUGCCCCUCGGGAAACCUUGGCUUUGAAACCAAGUGCCCGCGUGGGUGUACUACCUCUGUUUUCCCCUUCUACCGCAAAAGGGGGCUCGUUGCCGCCGCCCUCCAACUCGCUCCUGCGGGGGGGUUCCGUGCCUCCCUUCGCACCCGGCCCUGCAGCGGGGAUCGCCCUUCCCGCUCUCCCACGUCCUCCAUCCCGGGUGGCGCCGGCCGCCCCCGCGCCGCUCCCCCUCUCCCCGGCACUGCCGCAGCGGCUGCACCGCAAGGCGAAGCCCACGCCGUGGCUCCGGCCCGCCCCUCCCGGCCCGUCACGCCUGGCGGCUCCAGCGGGAGGCUCUGCGCGCUCGCUCCCUCCCGCAGCCGGCUUCAGGAGGAGGCGGCGGGGAAGGAGGGAGCGGCAGCGCCUCGCAGCCCGCCCGGGCCCUCUGGAAUUCCCCUUGCUCUCAGACUGCAAGCAAUGAACACUGACCCAGCUCUACAAUCUGCUUUACUAGACAUGUUUUUCAAUGCAAGCUGAUACACACACUUACAAGGAACUGAGCACUUAAUCAAUGUGAUACAUAUCCAGAGGCUAACAUUAUAUAGUGGUUUUUAAAAGCUAAUUGUAGGCUAUAAUCAAGAUCUGGGUGAAGAAGCAAGAAUUUAUGUUUUAAUUGCUUUACUUAUUAAAUUUAAAUAUUUUUGACAUCAGAAUGCUGUUUUUUUGAGUGUAUGUUUUGUUGUUCUUGCAGUUGUUUUCCAAAAAAUGAAAAUGACCUUUAGAUCUUGGUUGCUGUCUUUCACUGGAACUUAGUUUGCUUAUUGUACCUCCUUCAAAGUUAUAUCUCUAUACAGCUGCAAGUGAGUUGUUUCUUCUUGUACAUUGUUCAGACUUGCGCAGCCAUGGAGUAGGCAAGAGGGCUGCUUGGAGCUGGAAACCAGUUUCUGUUAUUAGUGAGCGGGCACUGGUAGGGUACAGAUCAUUUUCUGUCCAUGAAUAAAAGAUAUUAU